ensembl:lncRNA
AUGGAGUGUCUGGAGCCUAGCUGGAGGAAGCAGAAGAAAGAAACAUCCAGGGACAGCAGGGUGGCCGGGCGGCAGGACUGGGCUGCAGACGCCCACCUGGGCCCCCCACUAUCUGAAGAUGGCUCUACCCUCCGGUGUCUACUUUACUUCAGGUUCCCCACCAGAGGGAUCUCCACAAUAGGACAAGCUUGAGAGCUCUGAUGGUUCCCAAAGGUGGCUCUGCAGGAGGCACAGGUUUGAUCCCUGGUCCAGGAACUAAGUAAGAUCUCACACACCGUGCAGAAAAGAAAUAAACGAACAGAACUCAGGCUCCUAUUUCUCUG